rnacentral:tRNA from 1 species
GGAGAUUUAGCUCAGUGGAAGAGUACUUGCCUGUCAAGUACAAGGUCCUGAGUUCAAUCCUCAGCUCUG